ACGCUGGCGGCGUGCCUAAUACAUGCAAGUCGAACGGUCUUUCUAUGGAAGCUUGCUUCCACUGAGAAGAUAGUGGCGAACGGGUGAGUAACACGUGGGUAACCUGCCCAUAAGAGGGGGAUAACAUCCGGAAACGGGUGCUAAUACCGCAUAGUUUUCUUGAUCGCAUGAUCGGGAAAGGAAAGACGGCCUUUGUGCUGUCGCUUAUGGAUGGACCCGCGGCGUAUUAGUUAGUUGGUGAGGUAACGGCUCACCAAGACGAUGAUACGUAGCCGACCUGAGAGGGUGAUCGGCCACAUUGGGACUGAGACACGGCCCAAACUCCUACGGGAGGCAGCAGUAGGGAAUCUUCCGCAAUGGACGAAAGUCUGACGGAGCAGCGCCGCGUGAGUGAAGAAGGUUUUUUCGGAUCGUAAAACUCUGUUGUCAGAGAAGAACAAGUUGGAGAGUAACUGCUCCAGCCUUGACGGUAUCUGACCAGAAAGCCACGGCUAACUACGUGCCAGCAGCAGC
rnacentral:rRNA from 1 species